rnacentral:lncRNA from 1 species
UUACAGAUCAAUGGCUUGUGCCUGCACAGGUCUUAGGCCAGACUUGGGGAGAGCUCAGGAAGAAGGAGAGGUUGCAGUUAUUUUGGACUCUUUGGGCUUUCAAAUUUGAGAAAGAAAAUGGAUGAUGUCAAUUCCACUUCAGGUUACUAAAAAGAGAAUAAGGAUAAAGCCAACAUGAAAAGAUGACAUAUUCAGUGACCAUGGGACCAAGAGUGAAAAAGAGGAUAGUCUUUCUUGUAAGUUCAAGACAAACGUGAUGACCUCACUUAAGGAGAAAGCAGCUCUGGGGAAGAUCCUGCAAAAGCUCUGCACCUCAUCCUGAAAAAGUACCCCAAGUAGAAAACAGGUUUCCUAAUCUAUUUCCCUCUCUUGUGUCUUUGGAACUUCCUAAGGAAUUCAAAGAGGACCACAAGGCUCUUUGACUCUCUACAGAACCAAGAAGACCUCUCAAAAGUUUUCCUGCUGUCACCAAGCCAAAUACUUACAAAGAUUCUGCUUUACCAGAAGUUCCAUUACAUAGGGUCUUUUAUCAUGUUUGCUCAGUGGAUACUCCAGUUUUCACUCCUAUGGAGCUUGGAUCUCCUCCUUGUGAAUAUUCCUACCAGGUUUCUACUAGAACCUACCAGGUUCUCCCAUCCUGAGUGAUGCGUCCCAUUUUUCUUCUUGAGUUCAAUAUAGUAGAACCAUUCCAUUGCUAAAUACCCUUCCCAUUUCCCCUCAACUUAACCAAGAUACCAAGAGAUAAUACAAUCUGUUUAUCAGUUGUUAUUGCUCUUACCACUUUAUCAAUCAUACUUUUUUGGAUGACAUUAUUGCAUUUCUCCUUUAUAAGUCUUUGUUCAUCCCAUGCUCCCUUCCUGUCCAUACCAAACCUAUGUAAGUUUCCUUAUUCUUGUUUUCAAAGAACUGAUCUUUAGACUGUUAAAUAGAUUUCAAUGAAAUGUCACUGCAUAUGGAAAACUAGUUAGCACAUGUAUAAUAAAAGCCCUGCAUGAACAGGGAAGAAAUUUCCAUUACUAUAUCCCUAUUGCCUGUCACAGUUCCCAACAGUACUUAAUAAAUGCUCCCUAGUUUGAUAGAUGUCCUUCUGGAGCUGAGUUGAAGGUAAACCUAAUGACUAGUAUAAUCACAGAUCAAGAGGGUAGUUGUUGAAAUAAAGUUCAGCAAAAUACAUGGAAAACACGUGUGUAAUAAUGAUAUAGCAGAGCAUGGAAUACUAAGCUACUUCUCUUUUUACAUUCAACUCUCUUAAUUAAAUAUUAUUAUUAUUAUUAUGUGUUAUCUAUAUUAAUCUUUCUGCUGUUUUAGUCCCC